rnacentral:misc_RNA from 1 species
ACACGUCAACACGGACAAGUUUUCCAUGACUUGCUCUGCUGCUUGGAUGUUGAAGGCUUUGCUGGCGGUCAACGAUCGUCAGCUCCUUUUAAAUUCAUUAGCGGGAACCAUGCAAAACUGGCCUCAGUUUGAUAAGAUUGAACUGCCGCCAAAGAUGCGAUCGUUUUCCAGCUUCUAAUCGUCCAGCGAAUGGACUGUCUCAGCCUCGAGGCAAAACGACCAAUGACA